GAUGAACGCUAGCUACAGGCUUAACACAUGCAAGUCGAGGGGCAGCAUUAGGUAGCAAUACUGAGAUGGCGACCGGCGCACGGGUGCGUAACGCGUAUCCAACCUUCCCGUUACUCUUGGAUAGCCUUCCGAAAGGGAGAUUAAUACAAGAUGGUGUUCAAAUUCCGCAUGUUAUUUGAACUAAAGAUUUAUCGGUAACGGAUGGGGAUGCGUGACAUUAGGUAGAUGGCGGGGUAACGGCCCACCAUGCCUACGAUGUCUAGGGGUUCUGAGAGGAAGGUCCCCCACACUGGAACUGAGACACGGUCCAGACUCCUACGGGAGGCAGCAGUGAGGAAUAUUGGGUCAAUGGCCGAAGGCUGAACCAGCCAAGUAGCGUGAAGGAUGAAGGUUCUAUGGAUUGUAAACUUCUUUUAUACGGGAAUAACACCAUCUACGUGUAGAUGCCUGCAUGUACCGUAUGAAUAAGCAUCGGCUAACUCCGUGCCAGC
rnacentral:rRNA from 1 species